rnacentral:rRNA from 1 species
UACGUAGGGUGCAAGCGUUAAUCGGAAUUACUGGGCGUAAAGCGUGCGCAGGCGGUGAUGUAAGACAGAUGUGAAAUCCCCGGGCUCAACCUGGGAACUGCAUUUGUGACUGCAUCGCUGGAGUGCGGCAGAGGAGGAUGGAAUUCCGCGUGUAGCAGUGAAAUGCGUAGAUAUGCGGAGGAACACCGAUGGCGAAGGCAAUCCCCCUGGGCCUGCACUGACGCUCAUGCACGAAAGCGUGGGGGAGCAAACAGG